GAAUGAAGAGGGAAAAGCCCAAAUUUGUAAUCUGGCUCUUUCAGAGUCCGAGUUGUAAUUUUAAGAACUGUUUUCAGUGCUGGACCAUGUACAAGUCUGUUGAAAAGCAGCAUCAUAGAAGGUGAUAAUCCUGUUCAUGAUAUGGACUACCAGUGCAAUAUGAUACAGUCUCUAAGAGUCGAGUUGUUUGGGAAUGCAGCUCAAAGUGGGUGGUAAAUUCCAUCUAAGGCUAAAUAUUGAUGAGAGACCGAUAGCAAACAAGUACCGUGAGGGAAAGAUGAAAAGAACUUUGGAAAGAGAGUUAACAGUACGUGAAAUUGUUAAAAGGGAAACAAUUGAAGUUAGACUUGUUAUUAUUAGUUCAACCUUUUCUAAGGGGGUAUUCUAAUGAUUAACAGACCAACAUCAAUUUUUGGGUGUUGGAGAAGGGUUUAAGGAAAUGUAGCAGUUUUUGACUGUGUUAUAGUCCUGAGCUUUGAUACAAUGCUUAAGAUUGAGGAA
rnacentral:rRNA from 1 species